rnacentral:piRNA from 1 species
UGCCACUUGACACUUCAAGGACCUCAUGA